rnacentral:lncRNA from 1 species
AUCGUAUAAACAGACUGUCUGCAGAGGAGGAGUCUAAAUGAGCAGCCAAAGAGGAGAGAAACUCAACCUCACUAAAAGCUACAGAAAGGCAACUUUGGGCCAGAAGAUUUUGGCUUUAUUCAACAGGAAACAGAGUCUUGGAAGACUUUAAAGAGAUGUGGUCUGCUUCCCAUAAUGAUUCGUCUGGUGCCAUGUGGAGUUUGCUGAUGCCAGGCCAAAAGAGGGAAACUUGAGACGGUCCAGAGGGAUGCGGGACUGAAUAAAGGCAGAGGAAGUGGGGAUGAAGAAGGAAAGAGUAGACUGGAUGGAACAUGGUGGCCAAUUUGACGUGGGAAGUGGACAGAAGGAGGAAUCAUGGAUGAUGACCAGCUCUUAGUAUGUGUUUCUGUCUUGGACAGUCGGGAGAAAAGUCCACUGGAAGGAAUGGAAGCAUAUGGAGACGGCUUCUCUG